ensembl:miRNA
UUGCCUUUGUUGGCACUGUUCGUAACCUGUUAACAGCACCUUCCUGCUAAUGGGUUCCAUUCCAGUGCUAC